rnacentral:rRNA from 1 species
CCUGGCGGCAUUAGCGCGGUGGUCCCACCUGACCCCAUGCCGAACUCAGAAGUGAAACGCCGUAGCGCCGAUGGUAGUGUGGGGUCUCCCCAUGCGAGAGUAGGGAACUGCCAGAC